AUUGUAACAUCCCAACUUUAAUUAAUAGAGAAAUAUUAAUUAGAGUUGAUUAUUGGAGACUAAUUGAAAAUAAGUGAACAAGUAUAAGGGAUAAUUAAAGAACUCAAGAAUAAGUUAACUAUGACCAUUUGAGAGAAAGAGAACCCCUUUACCAAGUGGGACCCAUUACUCCAUAUGAUAAUUAAGCCAAUACCAAACAUUUCCCUCAUUUGUGAAGAAUCAGAACAACAUCUUGUCUCAUUUCUUUCUCUCCCUCGUUCUUCAACCUUACGCCCCUCCUCCAUAACCCAUGUUUCAUUCUUCUACCCAAAAGGUUGCAUGUACUCUUUUCUAGUUAACUCUUAGUCAUUGAGCUAUAACAAAGGAUUCGAGACUCCAAACCAUUCAUUCUUUCUCUAUUACGGGAAAUUAAUCCCAAAUCCAUCUCCACAAGAUCUUCAAAACCCUUUCCAUUAAAUUGAAGAAAAUCAGAGGUGUUUAUGGUGUUGAUUGCAUGUGCAAAGUCUGGAACAAAUUCUCAAUCAGCAGCAUGAUAAAGGAAGGGUAAGUCAUAGAGUUUAUUCUUCAAAUUUCUUAUUCUGACAAGUCCAUUCUAUUUGGUGUUAAAGAUGAUUUAUAGGAUUUAAUUAGUUCCAUUUUGGUACUUGCAUGUAAGAUUCCAAGGAGAGAAGAUCAUGGGUAUUUGAGUAGAAGUAAUUGAGAGAUCAAAGAUUAAGGAAGCUAAAAACUUGCAGAAGUUGGAAAGGACUUGGGAUUUAAGAAAUUAUUAUGGAAAAAUGAUUUAGCAACCUUAAUGAACUGUUGUUGUUGCUGUACUGUGGUCUGAUGUUGUUGUUAAAACUGAUUGGUAUGAUUAGAAUGGUUAUGGCUGAAUUCUAUGGAAUUAUAGUGAAAAAUUCGUAUGACAGUACAGGUACUAAUCGAGUCAUAGCAGUUGCUGUGUAGCCCAGACUUGUGUAAUUGUUGGAUUUUCGGAUUCUACACUUAAUUCCCUUCAGUUUGGAUAUAAGUUUGAUAUGUUUUGGAUUAGAAAUGGAUUCGGAAAACGCGUUUGAAGUUUGGAUAUUGAUGCUGGAAACUGCAUAUGGGUUUUGGCAUGAAUUUUGCGGAGUAAGCUAAAAUGUGAGUUCAUGUUGGGGGAAUGAUUCCAGAACUGAAUAUGUAUGCUUAAUUGGCUGAGUAAGAGUUUGAUUUGAAGUUGAAAUGCAAAAAUUAGAGGUCGGAAGUAGGUAGCAGUUUUAUGCAAAAAUAUGUCGCGAGUUUGCAUAUGCGAGUGGCACCAUCGGAUGGCUCUAAGUGGGCGAUAUGGCUCGGUACUGCUAGCAAUUUCAGAUAAACAGGUCGAUCGAGAUAUCAUGGUCUACAAGCAUGGAGUUCAGAUACUUGGAUUAUGCUAGUUGAGCUGACGUCAUGUUAUCUUAUAUUUUGUAUAAGAUUUAGUUUCUUUAUGUUUUCAGUUGUUAGCUCAGUUUAGUAUUAAUCUCUUGGAUUUUGUAAUCCUAUUUAUGUAUUCGGACGAUAUGUAAUGAAAAUUUAAUGUUUCCCGAUUCAGUUAUGUACACUCUUGUCGAUAUUCUAGAUAAAUUGACAUAGGGUGUUAUAAUUGGUAUCAGAGCAGGUCGAUUCAGUAUCGAACCUUGUCGUGGAUCAUUAGAAUUCAAUCCGAAGUAGUACGAACCCUUUGGAGUCUGGACUGUUUACGCUGAAAUCAUCGCGUACUGAGCCUGAUCAACUCAGUAUCGUGUAUGGUAGGCAGGGUAUUACAGUUGAGAAUCAAAGUGGACCAAGGAGAUCGAGUAGAAGAACGCAGCAGGAGUGUGAACUCAGAAGGUUGUAUGAACGAAGAUCGUUAGAAGCAGAUAUUUGGACUGCAGUAAUCGAUGCCACAAGAGUAAGUUGGGUAACGCCAACAAGUGGCGCGCAGAAUUGGGAAAAGUGCGUGGCGUAAUACUAGUAGUAAGAGGCAUGUCCAGAGAUGCACGAACUGGACGCGCUCAAUUGACGGUAGCAGGUUUAAGGAUACGGUCUGGGAAUGGAAAACCCGAUAUCAAAGUAAGUUUUGACCGGAGUAGAACUGAGACUCUGUAUUGAAGUACAAUACCGGAUAAUUGUAGUGAGUUUGAAGGAUGCAUUAAUAUAGAGAAUGGAAUUAUGUGAACGGAGCGUGUAUGUAUUAUGUGAACCUAAUAACCAGAAGCACUUAAUUCAAAUAAGACUUAUCAAAAGUCAGUGAACUAAACUCUUUCAAAUUCGUCAAACCAUCAUUUCGGUUCAGUAGUUUUCCCAGUGACAUAGGUCAAUUAACUACACUAUUAGAGAAAGACAAACUAGACUUCAAACAUUCCUUUAAUUCCUAAUGUCAGUUUGUUGUACCAUUCUCGUAGAAUGAGAACACUAAGUGACCCCAACAAGAUAAAUUAAGCCUCUCAGUCUGUAACCGGUACUCAAGUCAGACCAAUAGCAGCCAAGUUUCGUUUAUAGAGUAACGAUUGGAUUUUUAAUCCCAAUUCUAUCAGUCACCUAAGCCGACAUAUUAAACGCCAUUAUCAGUUAAUUCAUAAACAAGUAACGCAGUUCAAUAAUAACUUCAGCAAGUUGUGAACCAAUAUUUCGUAUUCAAACCUCUCAGCUUAUAACCCAACAUAUCCAGUUAAACCUAUUGUGAGAGUUUAUCAGCUAAAUUCUAAUGAGAAUCAAGUUUGUCCCAAUUCAAGAGAACUGUCUGUGGAAAUAAAUCAUGAAGCAUGAACAUACACCGGCAGAAUCAGGACUUUCAGUUACCUACCCUUUCAUGUGAACUCUAAAUCAGCUAAAUUCAUCGAAUCGAUGCGAUGCAUGAUUUGUAAUCAGCCAGCCUUGGUAAGUUAUGAACAUUACAUUCCUCGAACUUAUCUCAUUUUGAUAGAGAGAUAAAUUCUUCCGGUGCUUUGCGAUCUAUCGCUUACAUUUAGCGUAAGAAUUCAAUUAUGUUGCGAACCUUUCUAAUUCCUCAAUAUCAAUGAAUUAGAUUCACAGUUAGAAUGUUAUCCUUAUGUAACUCUGACGAAAUGUCUUCAGCUUUUCACCUUUGUUAUCAGUAUUCAGUUUGGACCUAUGUAAAGUUGAAUGGCUUGUUAAGAGUAAUGAGUUAUGUUCCUUUAAAGGACUAUCAAUUAUUCAUGUUGACCUUCAGAGCAGUAACCUUAUGUUUACCAUCAAUAAAUUCUUCGAUCUUCUAGUUUCACUACUAAUGACCGGUUCAUAAUCACAAAAGUCUAAUUAAUUAUGCAGGGUCACGAGUAAUUUUAGUUCAAGUUCUCACAUGUCUUGUUAAUCUGUUAAUCAACAAACAACCCAGAGUUAGUCAACUCAAUUAGUAGUAGCAUCACCAUCGGUAAAUCGAGACAAUUGUGUUUUACUUUCCCUUAGCGACCAGUCUAUUUUAGACAACUCGUUAUCGCAAAAUUGCAUCAGAGAAUUCUAUCCAAAUCUUACCUUAAUUAAGUUAGGGGACUCAUCAUAAGAAGUAACCUUAAUGAACACCGAUGGAAUGAGAAAAUCGUAAGCGCUAUGCGACAAGGAGAUUUUUGGAUUAGUCGGUAAUGAUAUCCAAGCUUAUACCCUUAAGAUAACCUCAUAACAUCAGUCGAUGUCCCGUGUUUUAAAGUGUGCCAACCAAGCCAAAUAAUGAUAUAAUGCAGUAAGUUGAGUAAUAGAGUUAUUGCUGGAAGCAAUAAUCAGAGUAAGUCAGAAAAGGAGACUGACUGUGACGAGGGACAACAAAGUGAAAUGAUAAGUAAACAGGAACCAACUCGCGAAGAAUGUCGCUUGUCGAAGUAGGGGUAGUUACUGGAUCAAUACAGGCAUUAUAAUUGAAUGCAACAAUGAGGAGACUUUGAGUAUGAAAUAAUUGUAAUAGAUAAGGAGUGAAGUGGUGCAGACAUGUUAGAUUUUGGUGAAGUAUUUAUACAGUGGUGCAUCGGACGUCACUAAGUGAUGCGAGUAUUACUUUGUAACGUUUACGGUACAAGAAGUAAUAACAAUAUGAGUAACGCCAGAUAAGAUGAGACAAUGUGUGACAUUGCCCGGGAAUUGUAGACCGAGGUUGUAAUGACGCAGUCAGAAGAUAAUGGUAAAAAGUUGAUAUCAGAGUGCGCAACAAGUAAUGGUGGAGAAUACAGUAAGCAGGUUGGUCUUUAGGCCAACAACCAUUUAGGAAGAAGAAAGUUUUAUUCCAAGGAAUUGGAUGUGGAAGACGGUAAGAUAAUUAAAAGAACGUAUGACGAGUAAGUUACACAUAUGUUCAUGUUUGAACUUGGGAUUGUUAGUAAUGGAGUACCCUUGAGAACAAAGAUUGUGAAGGGAGAACGAUUCAACUCAUAAGGAUAAUGCGGUGAACUAGUAAGAACAAGUGGGCUCCGGUAUUAAUUUGAAGAGUAAGGAAAAAGGAAAUGUUGCGUUGCGAACGGUUAUACCGAGGAAAAUAACAAAAAGUGCUAAUAUAAGAUGAGCGUGCACCUAUAAGUCGUAUUAUGGGCUGAGAUCAUGAGUUCGAUGUAUGAAAUGAACAAGCAGGAUUUUCAAAAGUAACCUAAACAAAUGCUAUUGCAGCGAAGUAUGGGGUUAAUAACCUUGAACGCCGAAUCAUGAUCUGUUAAGAAACAAAGUCUAGACAAUUUGCUUUGGUGAUGAAUGAAGAAGUUCUUGAAUUUCGCGGACGAAAUUCUUUUAAGGGGGAUAGAUUGUAACAUCCCAACUUUAAUUAAUAGAGAAAUAUUAAUUAGAGUUGAUUAUUGGAGACUAAUUGAAAAUAAGUGAACAAGUAUAAGGGAUAAUUAAAGAACUCAAGAAUAAGUUAACUAUGACCAUUUGAGAGAAAGAGAACCCCUUUACCAAGUGGGACCCAUUACUCCAUAUGAUAAUUAAGCCAAUACCAAACAUUUCCCUCAUUUGUGAAGAAUCAGAACAACAUCUUGUCUCAUUUCUUUCUCUCCCUCGUUCUUCAACCUCACGCCCCUCCUCCAUAACCCAUGUUUCAUUCUUCUACCCAAAAGGUUGCAUGUACUCUUUUCUAGUUAACUCUUAGUCAUUGAGCUAUAACAAAGGAUUCGAGACUCCAAACCAUUCAUUCUUUCUCUAUUACGGGAAAUUAAUCCCAAAUCCAUCUCCACAAGAUCUUCAAAACCCUUUCCAUUAAAUUGAAGAAAAUCAGAGGUGUUUAUGGUGUUGAUUGCAUGUGCAAAGUCUGGAACAAAUUCUCAAUCAGCAGCAUGAUAAAGGAAGGGUAAGUCAUAGAGUUUAUUCUUCAAAUUUCUUAUUCUGACAAGUCCAUUCUAUUUGGUGUUAAAGAUGAUUUAUAGGAUUUAAUUAGUUCCAUUUUGGUACUUGCAUGUAAGAUUCCAAGGAGAGAAGAUCAUGGGUAUUUGAGUAGAAGUAAUUGAGAGAUCAAAGAUUAAGGAAGCUAAAAACUUGCAGAAGUUGGAAAGGACUUGGGAUUUAAGAAAUUAUUAUGGAAAAAUGAUUUAGCAACCUUAAUGAACUGUUGUUGUUGCUGUACUGUGGUCUGAUGUUGUUGUUAAAACUGAUUGGUAUGAUUAGAAUGGUUAUGGCUGAAUUCUAUGGAAUUAUAGUGAAAAAUUCGUAUGACAGUACAGGUACUAAUUGAGUCAUAGCAGUUGCUGUGUAGCCCAGACUUGUGUAAUUGUUGGAUUUUCGGAUUCUACACUUAAUUCCCUUCAGUUUGGAUAUAAGUUUGAUAUGUUUUGGAUUAGAAAUGGAUUCGGAAAACGCGUUUGAAGUUUGGAUAUUGAUGCUGGAAACUGCAUAUGGGUUUUGGCAUGAAUUUUGCGGAGUAAGCUAAAAUGUGAGUUCAUGUUGGGGGAAUGAUUCCAGAACUGAAUAUGUAUGCUUAAUUGGCUGAGUAAGAGUUUGAUUUGAAGUUGAAAUGCAAAAAUUAGAGGUCGGAAGUAGGUAGCAGUUUUAUGCAAAAAUAUGUCGCGAGUUUGCAUAUGCGAGUGGCACCAUCGGAUGGCUCUAAGUGGGCGAUAUGGCUCGGUACUGCUAGCAAUUUCAGAUAAACAGGUCGAUCGAGAUAUCAUGGUCUACAAGCAUGGAGUUCAGAUACUUGGAUUAUGCUAGUUGAGCUGACGUCAUGUUAUCUUAUAUUUUGUAUAAGAUUUAGUUUCUUUAUGUUUUCAGUUGUUAGCUCAAUUUAGUAUUAAUCUCUUGGAUUUUGUAAUCCUAUUUAUGUAUUCGGACGAUAUGUAAUGAAAAUUUAAUGUUUCCCGAUUCAGUUA